ACGAACGCUGGCGGCAUGCCUAACACAUGCAAGUCGAACGAGACCUUCGGGUCUAGUGGCGCACGGGUGCGUAACGCGUGGGAAUCUGCCCUUGGGUACGGAAUAACAGCGAGAAAUUGCUGCUAAUACCGUAUAAUGACGUAAGUCCAAAGAUUUAUCGCCCAGGGAUGAGCCCGCGUAGGAUUAGCUUGUUGGUGAGGUAAAAGCUCACCAAGGCGACGAUCCUUAGCNGGUCUGAGAGGAUGAUCAGCCACACUGGGACUGAGACACGGCCCAGACUCCUACGGGAGGCAGCAGUGGGGAAUAUUGGACAAUGGGCGAAAGCCUGAUCCAGCAAUGCCGCGUGAGUGAUGAAGGCCUUAGGGUUGUAAAGCUCUUUCAGCUCCGACGAAGCGAGAGUGACGGUAGGAGCAGAAGAAGCACCGGCCAACUACGUGCCAGCAGCCGCCGCUGUAAC
rnacentral:rRNA from 1 species